UACAGAGGGUGCAAGCGUUAAUCGGAAUUACUGGGCGUAAAGCGUGCGCAGGCGGUUGUGCAAGACCGAUGUGAAAUCCCCGGGCUUAACCUGGGAAUGGCAUUGGUGACUGUACGGCUAGAGUGUGUCAGAGGGGGGUAGAAUUCCACGUGUAGCAGUGAAAUGCGUAGAGAUGUGGAGGAAUACCGAUGGCGAAGGCAGCCCCCUGGGAUAACACUGACGCUCAUGCACGAAAGCGUGGGGAGCAAACAGG
rnacentral:rRNA from 1 species